rnacentral:misc_RNA from 1 species
AGAUGCCCUCAAACUGCUUUAAUUCUUUGAUAAGAGAUUCCACGUCAGGCCACUCAGUAUCCAGCUCUGAUGCUUGGAGUUCUCCAUUCAAAUUAUCAGGAUCACCAACUACAGCCUCUAAGGCCUCCAUCAUGGGAUCUGGCGUUAUUUCCUUCAAUGACAAGAAGAUGCGCUCAAGUGAAAAGUCUAACUGGUGAACUUUUG